rnacentral:rRNA from 1 species
AACGAACGCUUGCGGCGCGCCUAAUACAUGCAAGUCGAACGAGGUAGCAAUACCUAGUGGCGCACGGGUGAGUAACGCGUGGAUAAUCUGCCCUUCAGUGGGGAAUAACCAUCCGAAAGGAUGGCUAAUACCGCAUGAGACCACGAUCUCUACGGGGAUUGAGGUUAAAGAUUUAUCGCUGAAGGAUGAGUCUGCGUGGGAUUAGCUAGUUGGUGGGGUAAUGGCCUACCAAGGCGACGAUCUCUAGCUGGUCUGAGAGGAUGGCCAGCCACACUGGAACUGAGACACGGUCCAGACUCCUACGGGUGGCUG